rnacentral:rRNA from 1 species
UGGGUAACCUGCCUUGUACUGGGGGACAACAGUUGGAAACGACUGCUAAUACCGCAUAAAGCGCACAGCUUCGCAUGAAGCAGUGUGAAAAACUCCGGUGGUACAAGAUGGACCCGCGUCUGAUUAGCUGGUUGGUGAGGUAACGGCCCACCAAGGCGACGAUCAGUAGCCGGCCUGAGAGGGUGAACGGCCACAUUGGGACUGAGACACGGCCCAAACUCCUACGGGAGGCAGCAGUGGGGAAUAUUGCACAAUGGGGGAAACCCUGAUGCAGCAACGCCGCGUGAGUGAAGAAGUAUUUCGGUAUGUAAAGCUCUAUCAGCAGGAAAGAAAAUGACGGUACCUGACUAAGAAGCCCCGGCUAACUACGUG